GGUUAAGCGACUAAGCGUACACGGUGGAUGCCCUGGCAGUCAGAGGCGAUGAAGGACGUGCUAAUCUGCGAAAAGCGUCGGUAAGGUGAUAUGAACCGUUACAGCCGGCGAUGUCCGAAUGGGGAAACCCAGUGUGAUUCGUCACACUAUCGUUAACUGAAUACAUAGGUUAACGAGGCGAACCGGGGGAACUGAAACAUCUAAGUACCCCGAGGAAAAGAAAUCAACCGAGAUUCCCCCAGUAGCGGCGAGCGAACGGGGAGCAGCCCAGAGUCUGAAUCAGCUUGUGUGUUAGUGGAACGGUCUGGAAAGUCCGACGGUACAGGGUGAUAGUCCCGUACACCAAAAUGCACAGGCUGUGAACUCGAAGAGUAGGGCGGGACACGUGGUAUCCUGUCUGAAUAUGGGGGGACCAUCCUCCAAGGCUAAAUACUCCUGACUGACCGAUAGUGAACCAGUACCGUGAGGGAAAGGCGAAAAGAACCCCGGCGAGGGGAGUGAAAAAGAACCUGAAACCGUGUACGUACAAGCAGUGGGAGCACCUUCGGGUGUGACUGCGUACCUUUUGUAUAAUGGGUCAGCGACUUAUAUUCUGUAGCAAGGUUAACCGUAUAGGGGAGCCGCAGGGAAACCGAGUCUUAACUGGGCGUUAAGUUGCAGGGUAUAGACCCGAAACCCGGUGAUCUAGCCAUGGGCAGGUUGAAGGUUGGGUAACACUAACUGGAGGACCGAACCGACUAAUGUUGAAAAAUUAGCGGAUGACUUGUGGCUGGGGGUGAAAGGCCAAUCAAACCGGGAGAUAGCUGGUUCUCCCCGAAAGCUAUUUAGGUAGCGCCUCGUGAACUCAUCUUCGGGGGUAGAGCACUGUUUCGGCUAGGGGGUCAUCCCGACUUACCAACCCGAUGCAAACUACGAAUACCGAAGAAUGUUAUCACGGGAGACACACGGCGGGUGCUAACGUCCGUCGUGAAGAGGGAAACAACCCAGACCGCCAGCUAAGGUCCCAAAGUCACAGUUAAGUGGGAAACGAUGUGGGAAGGCACAGACAGCCAGGAUGUUGGCUUAGAAGCAGCCAUCAUUUAAAGAAAGCGUAAUAGCUCACUGGUCGAGUCGGCCUGCGCGGAAGAUGUAACGGGGCUAAACUGUGCACCGAAGCUGCGGCAGCGACACUAUGUGUUGUUGGGUAGGGGAGCGUUCUGUAAGCCUGCGAAGGUGGCCUGUGAGGGUUGCUGGAGGUAUCAGAAGUGCGAAUGCUGACAUAAGUAACGAUAAUGCGGGUGAAAAGCCCGCACGCCGGAAGACCAAGGGUUCCUGUCCAACGUUAAUCGGGGCAGGGUGAGUCGACCCCUAAGGCGAGGCCGAAAGGCGUAGUCGAUGGGAAACAGGUUAAUAUUCCUGUACUUGGUGUUACUGCGAAGGGGGGACGGAGAAGGCUAUGUUAGCCGGGCGACGGUUGUCCCGGUUUAAGCAUGUAGGCGGAGGUUCCAGGUAAAUCCGGUACCUUUUUAACGCUGAGGUGUGAUGACGAGGCACUACGGUGCUGAAGUAACAAAUGCCCUGCUUCCAGGAAAAGCCUCUAAGCAUCAGGUAACAUUGAAUCGUACCCCAAACCGACACAGGUGGUCAGGUAGAGAAUACCAAGGCGCUUGAGAGAACUCGGGUGAAGGAACUAGGCAAAAUGGUGCCGUAACUUCGGGAGAAGGCACGCUGAUAUGUAGGUGAAGCCCCUGCGGGUGGAGCUGAAAUCAGUCGAAGAUACCAGCUGGCUGCAACUGUUUAUUAAAAACACAGCACUGUGCAAACACGAAAGUGGACGUAUACGGUGUGACGCCUGCCCGGUGCCGGAAGGUUAAUUGAUGGGGUUAUCCGUAAGGAGAAGCUCUUGAUCGAAGCCCCGGUAAACGGCGGCCGUAACUAUAACGGUCCUAAGGUAGCGAAAUUCCUUGUCGGGUAAGUUCCGACCUGCACGAAUGGCGUAAUGAUGGCCAGGCUGUCUCCACCCGAGACUCAGUGAAAUUGAACUCGCUGUGAAGAUGCAGUGUACCCGCGGCAAGACGGAAAGACCCCGUGAACCUUUACUAUAGCUUGACACUGAACAUUGAGCCUUGAUGUGUAGGAUAGGUGGGAGGCUUUGAAGCGUGGACGCCAGUCUGCGUGGAGCCAACCUUGAAAUACCACCCUUUAAUGUUUGAUGUUCUAACGUUGGCCCCUGACCGGGGUUGCGGACAGUGUCUGGUGGGUAGUUUGACUGGGGCGGUCUCCUCCCAAAGAGUAACGGAGGAGCACGAAGGUUAGCUAAUCCUGGUCGGACAUCAGGAGGUUAGUGCAAUGGCAUAAGCUAGCUUGACUGCGAGCGUGACGGCGCGAGCAGGUGCGAAAGCAGGUCAUAGUGAUCCGGUGGUUCUGAAUGGAAGGGCCAUCGCUCAACGGAUAAAAGGUACUCCGGGGAUAACAGGCUGAUACCGCCCAAGAGUUCAUAUCGACGGCGGUGUUUGGCACCUCGAUGUCGGCUCAUCACAUCCUGGGGCUGAAGUAGGUCCCAAGGGUAUGGCUGUUCGCCAUUUAAAGUGGUACGCGAGCUGGGUUUAGAACGUCGUGAGACAGUUCGGUCCCUAUCUGCCGUGGGCGCUGGAGAAUUGAGGGGGGCUGCUCCUAGUACGAGAGGACCGGAGUGGACGCAUCACUGGUGUUCGGGUUGUCAUGCCAAUGGCAUUGCCCGGUAGCUAAAUGCGGAAGAGAUAAGUGCUGAAAGCAUCUAAGCACGAAACUUGCCCCGAGAUGAGUUCUCCCUGACUCCUUGAGAGUCCUGAAGGAACGUUAAAGACGAUGACGUUGAUAGGUCGGGUGUGUAAGCGUAGCGAUACGUUGAGCUAACCGAUACUAAUGAACCGUGAGGCUUAACCUU
rnacentral:rRNA from 1 species